CAAGUAUGGGGACAUCACAGAAGUCAUGGUCAUGAAAGAUCCCACCACGCGACGAUCAAGGGGCUUUGGAUUCAUCACGUUCGCAGAUCCCUCGAGUGUAGACAAAGUGCUGGCACAGGGUAAUCACGAGUUAGACGGCAAGAAAAUCGACCCGAAAGUAGCGUUUCCCAGGAGAACACAUCCGAAG